GACGAGGUGUUUAUGUAUACGACUUGAAUCUUUAGAUGCAUGCUUGGACGUGUUUCUUGCCCUAAAUAUUCAGAUUGUGGAAGGAUGGGAAAAAAACAAGUCCUGGUUGCCAAGAGAGAGAAUAGACGAGGUCUUACGUGGAGCUGAUAAGUUCAAAACUUGGUUAAGUGACAAGGAAGCUGUGCAGCAAAAGACUACUGCAUUUAGCAAACCGGCUUUCACAUCUGAUCAAGUAUACGACAAGAUUUUAGAUCUCCAAGACAAGGUUGCAAGUGUGAACAGAACCCCCAAGCCAAAACCGAAAGUUGAGAAACCGGCGAAGGUGGAAACAGAGAAUGGUGACGAUAAAGCAAACAGCACAGACUCUGCAUCUGAAGAGACCACCUCUGCAAAAGACCAGACGACAACUGAAUCAGACGAUGUCGAGGCUGAAACCGAGUCCAACGGUCACGAUGAGCUGUAAUAAUCAUUUAGUAACACACACAAAACCAAAGGUGCCAAUAGAUAUGAACAGGGGCGUAGCCAGGGGGGGCUAGACCCCCC